rnacentral:lncRNA from 1 species
ACAAAUAGCUCUUCAGAGGAAGUUAGCUUUUGUGGGAGCAACUUGAACUGACCCUGAGGGGGACUUUGAAGAUACCUGACUUUUCAGACGGCUUAUCUGUGUGUUUCCCUGAAGUCUGCCUUGCAGGACUGAGGACAAGGGUUUUGCACAUUCCUCUCAGGUAAAAAGUAUUAUUAUUAA